rnacentral:rRNA from 1 species
CCUACGGGAGGCAGCAGUGAGGAAUAUUGGUCAAUGGGCGCGAGCCUGAACCAGCCAAGUCGCGUGAGGGAAGACGGUCCUAUGGAUUGUAAACCUCUUUUGUCGGGGAGCAAAAGACGCCACGCGUGGCGUUCCGAGAGUACCCGAAGAAAAAGCAUCGGCUAACUCCGUGCCAGCAGCCGCGGUAAUACGGAGGGUGCAAGCGUUACUCGGAAUCACUGGGCGUAAAGAGCGCGUAGGCGGGAUAGCAAGUCAGAUGUGAAAUCCCGAGGCUCAACUUCGGAAUUGCCUCUGAUACUGUUCGGCUAGAGAGUAGUUGCGGUAGGCGGAAUGUAUGGUGUAGCGGUGAAAUGCUUAGAGAUCAUACAGAACACCGAUUGCGAAGGCAGCUUACCAAGCUACUUCUGACGUUGAGGCACGAAAGCGUGGGGAGCAAACAGGAUUAGAUACCCGUGUAGUC